rnacentral:rRNA from 1 species
UACGUAGGGAGCAAGCGUUGUCCGGAAUCAUUGGGCGUAAAGCGCGCGUAGGUGGCUUCGUAAGUCCGUUGUGAAAGUCAAAGGCUCAACCUUUGAAUGCCGAUGGAUACUGCGGAGCUAGAGUACGGAAGAGGCGAGUGGAAUUCCUGGUGUAGCGGUGGAAUGCGCAGAUAUCAGGAGGAACACCAAUAGCGAAGGCAGCUCGCUGGGACGUUACUGACACUGAGGCGCGAAAGCGUGGGGAGCGAACAGG